rnacentral:lncRNA from 1 species
CGAACUAGGACUGCUGGGUGCUCCCUCCUACCUGCCUGGUAGGGGGCGCAUUUGAGGGCGACGUCGGAGCCAUAGCCGUGAUCCCGUGGACACCUCCAGCUCCUCAGGCCUCUCCCCAUAGAAGAGAGCCAGCUGCAGGGAGAUCAGAUUCCUCAUGGAGGAACCAAGGCACUCGAAACGACCUCGCUUCCUGGCCCCAAAUCAAGCUUCAGGUGGGCCUCCUACAGAGCCAGGCUGCUCUGGUGUGGACCGUGAAGACCCUGUAGACCCAGUCCAACCGGCAAAACCCACUGCUUAUGUGAAACCCAUGAGACGGGAGCCCCCAGCUCGCGCACAGCCAGCUCCUCCUGCAGGAAGAGGCCAGCGUGGGGGAGGAAGCUGGCGGGCAGGUCGAGGCCGCGGCAGUGGGGCUGGGCUUCUCAGGGCCCUGGGCGAGAGAGUGGGGCCAGGCAUGUACCUAGUCCAUCUGAAUGACCAUGGAGAGCUAGGCUACCAGGGGCAACUGGAAGCCAGGCAGACCCCAGCCUUCUCUUUUACUGAAGCAGCUCUUAUGCCUGGAAUUGUGCAGGAAGGCCCCGGCCCCCAUGCAGCCCAGCCUGAGGUGGGGCUUCAGGAGCCACCUCCUGCUCCUGGGCCUGUGGCUGUGGCCAGGCAGACCAUGUUGGCCCCCUCUCCCUCCCUCAGUUUCAGGCCUCCGGGUGGCUCAUCUACUUUGUGCAUCGUGCAGACCUCUAAUAGCACCAUCGUGCAGAGUGUCCCAGUGUUCCCUGCCCACUCUGCACACUAACCUCUGUCAUCCGUAUUGCUGCCAGCCUUCUUUUCUUCCACCUGGUCUUUCCCCCUAUCCCCAAACUCUAGCCCCAUUUCUGCUCCACUCCUCCCUGCCCAUCCCAGUCAGAGCCCUUACUUUGUGUUGUCAUGAGCCUCCAAGUCCUCCUCCCAGGAUCCUGACAGUAGUCCAUCUGCUUCCAAUUCCCCUCUUGCCUCCGCUUUGUAUGUUC